rnacentral:rRNA from 1 species
UACGUAGGUGGCGAGCGUUGUCCGGAUUUACUGGGCGUAAAGGGAGCGUAGGCGGACUUUUAAGUGAGAUGUGAAAUACUCGGGCUCAACUUGAGUGCUGCAUUUCAAACUGGAAGUCUAGGGUGCAGGAGAGGAGAAUGGAAUUCCUAGUGUAGCGGUGAAAUGCGUAGAGAUUAGGAAGAACACCAGUGGCGAAAGCGGCUCUCUGGCCUGUAACUGACACUGAGGCUCGAAAGCGUGGGGAGCAAACAGG